CACGUAGGGGGCGAGCGUUGUCCGGAAUCGAUUGGGCGUAAAGGAGCUCGUAGGCGGCUUAGUAAGUCGGGUGUGAAACCUCCUGGCUCAACCUGGAGACGCCACCCGAUACUGCUGUCGGCUAGAGUCCGGUAGGGGAGCGUGGAAUUCCUGGUGUGAGCGGUGGAAAUGCGCAGAGUAUCAGGAGGAACACCAGCGGCGAAGGCGGACGCUCUGGGCCG
rnacentral:rRNA from 1 species